UUCUGGCUCAGGAUGAACGCUAGCGGCAGGCCUAACACAUGCAAGUCGCGGGGCAGCACGGGUAGCAAUACCUGGUGGCGACCGGCGCACGGGUGCGUAACGCGUAUGCAACCUGCCCCCAUCAGGGGAAUAGCCCGCCGAAAGGCGGAUUAAUGCCCCAUAGGCCCAGGGCGCCGCAUGGCGCUAUGGGUAAAGCUCCGGCGGAUGGGGAUGGGCAUGCGUGCCAUUAGCUAGUUGGGCGGUAACGGCGCACCAAGGCAACGAUCAUUAGGGGUUCUGAGAGGAAGGUCCCCCCACACUGGUACUGAGACACGGACCAGACUCCUACGGGAGGCAGCAGUGAGGAAUAUUGGUCAAUGGACGAGAGUCUGAACCAGCCAAGUCGCGUGCAGGAAGAAUGUCCUAUGGAUUGUAAACUGCUUUUGCAGGGGAAUAAAGUGCAUCACGUGUGAUGUUUUGUAUGUACUCUGCGAAUAAGGAUCGGCUAACUCCGUGCCAGCCGCCGC
rnacentral:rRNA from 1 species